rnacentral:rRNA from 1 species
AAGGAUCAUUAUUGAAAUAAACCUGAUGAGUUGCUGCUGGCUCUCUAGGGAGCAUGUGCACACUUGUCAUCUUUAUAUCUCCACCUGUGCACCUUUUGUAGAUCUGGAUAUCUCUCUGAGCGCUUAGCAACUCAGGUUUGAGGAUUGACUUUAUUGUCUCUCCUUACAUUUCCAGACCUAUGUUUCUUUAUAUACCCCAAUGUAUGUCAUAGAAUGUAAUUAAUGGGCCUUUGUGCCUAUAAAUCUAUACAACUUUCAGCAACGGAUCUCUUGGCUCUCGCAUCGAUGAAGAACGCAGCGAAAUGCGAUAAGUAAUGUGAAUUGCAGAAUUCAGUGAAUCAUCGAAUCUUUGAACGCACCUUGCGCUCCUUGGUAUUCUGAGGAGCAUGCCUGUUUGAGUGUCAUUAAUAUAUAUCAACCUCUACAACUUUUGUUUGUUGAGUUGUUGGAUGUGGGGGCUCUUGCUGGCUUCUCUGAGGUCAGCUCCCCUGAAAUACAUUAGCGGAACGAUCCCCGUUCAUUGGUGUGAUAACUAUCUACGCUAUUGACGUGAAGUUGUUUGGCUUAUAACAGUCCAUUGACUUGGACAAAUUUUCAUUAAUGUGACCUCAAAUCAGGUAGGACUACCCGCUGAACUUAAGCAUAUCAAUAAGCGGAGGAAAAGAAACUAACAAGGAUUCCCCUAGUAACUGCGAGUGAAGCGGGAAAAGCUCAAAUUUAAAA